UGGGGGGCCCCGUGCGAUGUUGCGGUGUGAACCCUGUCAGGUCCGAGAGGAAGCAGCAGUAAGCAUCUUAAGCGUGUGCUGCGGCAAAGCCUGCCAGUC
rnacentral:SRP_RNA from 1 species